rnacentral:piRNA from 1 species
UCAUUGUGCUCCCGCUCAGC